rnacentral:rRNA from 1 species
AGUGAACGCUGGCGGCAGGCCUAAUACAUCGAAGUCGAACGGCAGCACAGCAGAGCUUGCUCUGUGGGUGGCGAGUGGCGGACGGGUGAGGAAUACAUGGGAAUCUGCCCAGUCGUGGGGGAUAACGUAGGGAAACUUACGCUAAUACCGCAUGCGCCCUUCGGGGGAAAGCCGGGGACCUUCGGGCCUGGCGCGAUUGGAUGAGCCCAUGUCGGAUUAGCUAGUUGGCGGGGUAAUGGCCCACCAAGGCGACGAUCCGUAGCUGGUCUGAGAGGAUGAUCAGCCACACUGGGACUGAGACACGGCCCAGACUCCUACGGGAGGCAGCAGUGGGGAAUAUUGGACAAUGGGCGAAAGCCUGAUCCAGCAAUGCCGCGUGAGUGAUGAAGGCCUUAGGGUUGUAAAGCUCUUUUACCAGGGAUGAUAAUGACAGUACCUGGAGAAUAAGCUCCGGCUAACUCCGUG